CAGGCUUAACACAUGCAAGUCGAGGGGCAUCAGGAAGAAAGCUUGCUUUCUUUGCUGGCGACCGGCGCACGGGUGAGUAACACGUAUCCAACCUGCCCUUUACUCGGGGAUAGCCUUUCGAAAGAAAGAUUAAUACCCGAUAGCAUAAUGAUUCCGCAUGGUUUCAUUAUUAAAGGAUUCCGGUAAAGGAUGGGGAUGCGUUCCAUUAGGUUGUUGGUGAGGUAACGGCCCACCAAGCCUUCGAUGGAUAGGGGUUCUGAGAGGAAGGUCCCCCACAUUGGAACUGAGACACGGUCCAAACUCCUACGGGAGGCAGCAGUGAGGAAUAUUGGUCAAUGGGCGCUAGCCCGAACCAGCCAAGUAGCGUGAAGGAUGAAGGCUCUAUGGGUCGUAAACUUCUUUUAUAUAAGAAUAAAGUGCAGUAUGUAUACUGUUUUGUAUGUAUUAUAUGAAUAAGGAUCGGCUAACUCUGUGCCAGCAGCCGCGGUAAUACGGAGGAUCCGAGCGUUAUCCGGAUUUAUUGGGUUUAAAGGGAGCGUAGGUGGACCGGUAAGUCAGUUGUGAAAGUUUGCGGCUCAACCGUAAAAUUGCAGUUGAUACUGUCAGUCUUGAGUACAGUAGAGGUGGGCGGAAUUCGUGGUGUAGCGGUGAAAUGCUUAGAUAUCACGAAGAACUCCAAUUGCGAAGGCAGCUCACUGGACUGCAACUGACACUGAUGCUCGAAAGUGUGGGUAUCAAACAGGAUUAGAUACCCUGGUAGUCCACACAGUAAACGAUGAAUACUCGCUGUUUGCGAUAUACAGUAAGCGGCCAAGCGAAAGCAUUAAGUAUUCCACCUGGGGAGUACGCCGGCAACGGUGAAACUCAAAGGAAUUGACGGGGGCCCGCACAAGCGGAGGAACAUGUGGUUUAAUUCGAUGAUACGCGAGGAACCUUACCCGGGCUUAAAUUGCAGUGGAAUGAUGUGGAAACAUGUCAGUGAGCAAUCACCGCUGUGAAGGUGCUGCAUGGUUGUCGUCAGCUCGUGCCGUGAGGUGUCGGCUUAAGUGCCAUAACGAGCGCAACCCUUAUCUUUAGUUACUAACAGGUUAUGCUGAGGACUCUAGAGAGACUGCCGUCGUAAGAUGUGAGGAAGGUGGGGAUGACGUCAAAUCAGCACGGCCCUUACGUCCGGGGCUACACACGUGUUACAAUGGGGGGUACAGAAGGCAGCUAGCGGGUGACCGUAUGCUAAUCCCAAAAUCCUCUCUCAGUUCGGAUCGAAGUCUGCAACCCGACUUCGUGAAGCUGGAUUCGCUAGUAAUCGCGCAUCAGCCACGGCGCGGUGAAUACGUUCCCGGGCCUUGUACACACCGCCCGUCAAGCCAUGGGAGCCGGGGGUACCUGAAGUACGUAACCGCAAGGAUCGUCCUAGGGUAAAACUGGUGACUGGG
rnacentral:rRNA from 1 species